rnacentral:rRNA from 1 species
UACGAAGGGGGCUAGCGUUGCUCGGAAUUACUGGGCGUAAAGCGCACGUAGGCGGGUUCUUAAGUCGGUGGUGAAAUCCUGGAGCUCAACUCCAGAACUGCCAUUGAAACUGUUAGACUUGAGUACGAGAGAGGUGAGUGGAAUUCCCAGUGUAGAGGUGAAAUUCGUAGAUAUCGGGAGGAACACCAGUGGCGAAGGCGGCGACCUGGACAGAUAUUGACGCUGAGGUGCGAAAGCGUGGGGAGCAAACAGG